GGAGCAGGCGAAGGAGGAAACAAAUAAAUUGAUGAAGAUAGAGAGAGAGAGAAACAAGGGAUAUACAAAGUUGAGGGGAGGAUAGGAGAGCUGAGAUUUCGAUGAUGAUGGAUAUUCAAAUGACAGGAACAUGCACUGGGGUGGAGAAAGUUACAACAUUUUGAAACGAAAUAGCUUAGCCUGACACUUUUCCUGAACAUUCGUAGGUGAACUCAUGGUGGAAUAGGUGCAUCUUGGUUUAGGCCUAAGCCUUAGCCUGGGCCUGAGACUAAGCCCGAAGCCUAAGCCUAAGCCUAAGCUCAACUAUACGACUCUCUGUUAAAUUUCGCUUUGAUCGGCCAACGGGAACCCUUUGAAAAAUGAAAAAAAAACGCUAUAAACCCAAGCCUAAAUAGUAAAAAACGCUCGCCACUGACGCCAAGCUUAAGCUUAAGCAUAAGACUAAGCCUAAGCCUAAGCCUAAGCCUAAGCCGAAGCCUAAGAUUAAGACUAAGCCUAGGGUUAAGCGUAAGCCUAAGCUAUGAAAACCUUGGCCGAUUUAAGUGUCUUAAAGAAACUUCAAAAGGGUAUUUAAAAAAUUUUGACAAAAACCCGAAAAAAUGAAAAACUUCUGAGAGCCUAAGGUCAAUAACUUGUCUGAGAGCAUGAUGACCUAGAAGAGAAACAAUAUUUGUGUACCGAAUUACCUCCCGUGUUCUGGUUUUGAGCUAGAUGUCUCAGGCUUUUUUGAACAGAGAGCAUAGAACACUUAUUUUACUACAUUCACGACAUUUGAGGUAUUAAUAAAUGUUUGACAGCGAAACUAUAAAAAAGAAGUGACGCCUUAGGCUUAGGCUUGAUCUUGGGCUGAGGCUUAAUUAAGCUUAGACUUAGGAUUAAGUUUAGUCUCAAGCCUUUAUAUUGGCUUGAGCCUUGUUUUUGAUCUGUGUAUUUGUUUCACAAAAGUAAUUCUGAUUCAAUAAACAUUGAGGUUUCAGAACAUAUGAAAAUUCGAUGUACACGUGCAGAAACUGUCAAGACGGGACCAAUACACUUUUCCAUGCUCAG
rnacentral:sRNA from 1 species